rnacentral:rRNA from 1 species
GUGUCAGCAGCCGCGGUAAGACGUAGGGCGCGAGCGUUGUCCGGAUUUAUUGGGCGUAAAGAGCUCGUAGGCGGUUUGUCGCGUCGUUCGUGAAAACUCACAGCUUAACUGUGAGCUUGCGGUCGAUACGGGCAGGCUAGAGUUCGGUAGGGGAGACUGGAAUUCCUGGUGUAGCGGUGAAAUGCGCAGAUAUCAGGAGGAACACCGGUGGCGAAGGCGGGUCUCUGGGCCGAUACUGACGCUGAGGAGCGAAAGCGUGGGGAGCGAACAGGAUUAGAUACCCCAGUAGUCC